UGCGCUUCAUAGCAGAGUCGGCCUGAAUCCCAGCAAGAGUUUGCCAUGCGACAACACUGCGUCUGAACUCUUUGGCCACUUUUGGAAAAACUAUUUUGGAGCUUCCUGGCUGAAAUCAAUCCAUUAAUUUUCCCCUCCAAAAAUAAAACCAUUGGAUUUCUGAUUGAAGACCUUCAUUGCACUUGCUGUGCAAGAUGGGUGACUGGGGUUUCCUGGAGAAGUUACUGGAUCAGGUCCAGGAGCAUUCGACGGUCAUUGGCAAGAUCUGGUUGACGGUCCUCUUCAUUUUCCGUAUCUUGAUCCUGGGGCUCGCUGGGGAGUCCGUCUGGGGGGACGAACAGUCAGACUUUGUCUGCAACACCAAGCAACCUGGUUGUACCAAUGUGUGCUACGACAAGGCCUUUCCCAUCUCCCAUGUUCGUUACUGGGUGCUUCAAUUCCUAUUUGUCAGCACACCCACCUUGGUCUAUCUGGGCCACGUCAUCUAUCUCCACCGUCAAGAGGAGAAGCUGAAGGAGCGGGAGAAUGAACUCCGGGCACUCCAGUCCAAGGAUUACAACGUGGCGGCCACCUUGAUGGCGGUAGAAAAGAAGAUGGCCAAGAUCUGUGUGGCAGAAGAUGGGCGGAUCAAAAUACGUGGCCCACUGAUGUGGACCUACAUCAUCAGCGUGGUAUUCAAGUCCGCUUUUGAGGCUGGUUUCAUCCUCGGACAGUGGUACCUGUACGGUUUCGUCAUGAGGCCUCUCUAUGUCUGUGAAGGCUCCCCUUGUCCACACAAGGUGGACUGCUUUAUGUCCCGCCCCACUGAGAAGACCAUAUUCAUCCUCUUCAUGCUGGUGGUGGCCUUGAUCUCCCUCGCCCUCAAUCUUCUCGAGCUCUUCCAUCUCUGUUGCAAGAGUCUCCUCAACAGUGUCAAAGAAAGUGACUGCUGCUCUCCUUCGUCUGCUCCCCCUCUGCCUUGUGACAGCAACAAUUUCCCCACCAAACUUUGUGAAAUGCCUGUCGGGGCUUAUCCAGACAAGUCCUACUUCUACCUCCCAAUGACUGAGAGGCAUUCCCAGCACUAUCAGGCUUACAACAAGCUUUCCAAUGAGCAGAACUGGGCCAACUUCAACACCGAAGAAACCUUGGCUUUGCGAGACCAGAAUAAGCCCCCAGAUGUCUUUGCUGCCGAAGCUCCGAAAUCCUCACUCUCUCAGGAAAAGCAAUCCAGCCGGCCUAGCAGCAGUGCUUCCAAGAAACAAUAUGUCUAAUGAAAAGUAAUGAAAAUCUAAGGCUUCUUUGGUGAUAAUGGAAGGUUACGAAGCCAAGUGUCUUUUGAUAGGCUUCUUUAGUGUUGGGUUGCCUCAAUCUGGUUCAUUCUUGCUUAAGAGGCCAUGUCUUUCUGUUGUUUGGUGCUACGUUGUCUCAACCACGUUAUCCUGCUGUGCGGGUGGGAGCCAUGGCUUCCCCGUGGACACUGACUGAAUUUGUUACAGAAAAAUAGACAUGGAGCCAGCCUUUUCCAAGCCAAUGACAUGGCUAGUUAGUGGCCAUUCAGUGAUCACCGAGGUGGAAUGCUAUAUGUUGAGACCUGUUUUUCGGUGUCGUUUUUCUGGGUAAGAGACAGGUGGCAGAAAAUGGCUGGUCAAAGGGGACAUUAAGAGACCUCUUGACACUUCAGAUGGUGCAGAAGAUGGUUUCAGCUCUCACAUGGCAACUUGCAAGCUUGUGGGAAAGCAUAGAAGGAAAAUACACUCAACACAGGAGGCAUCUGAUGUAACUUCUAUUUAUGGAUGGCCGUGUGAAUUAUUUGGAGGUAUACCUCUCUCCCUGACCUCCAGGAAGUCCAAGCAGCUUAGAAAUAUAAAACCAUAUGCAAUAUAUUGGACUGGGAGGAAGAGUAAUCUAAAAAAAGAUUUCCUGUUCCAGAUAAACACUUGAGGAAAUACUGGCUGCAGCUGAAGUUAACUUACCAAGAGCUCAUCCUCACUUAAGUAUAAAACAAAGUCUCCUAGAUAUGGUGUAACUCCUUGGAGUCGUCUCUUAAAUAACUCGUUGGAGGUUCAUCCUGAUAACUGGGUGUGCUAUAAUGGGGUAGUGAACACUUUUUUAUUUGUCUUCACUGUAUGGUAUAUCUGGAUUAGGUUAUCUUUCUUCUGACACAUUCACUGUUGGUACACAAUCCAACGCUUGAUCUGAAAAAUACUUUCUCUUCAAUGUUGUAACAUUUGAUUUAAAGAUAACACAGUGAAAAUCCUUAACUUUUCCUCCUUGGCUUGUGUGCCUAUGCUCUUCUUUUCUCACCCACAGAAAUCAGAUUGUUGGAAUGAGACCCAUAAACAUGUGUAUCAGAUCUGUGCAACUCUGGCAUUCUAGAUAUUUGCAAAUUCCAUAAUCCUCAUCAUUGGCUGUGCUAGAUAGGACGGUUGGGACUUGUAGUCCAUAACUGUCUAGGGUUUCUCAGCCUUUGAUCCUCCAACAGUUUUGUUUAUCUGGAAGCCUUUCCCAGCAUGGCCAAUGAUGAAGUCCAAAAAAUCUGGAAGACCCAAGUUGGGAGCUAAGUAGGGAAGCUAAGUAGGGUCAGCCGCAAGUUGUCCAUCCCUACUAUAGACAUAAAUCCUCUUUUUGCUCUGACAUUCUAGAUAUUUGCAACUUCCAUAAUCCUCAUCAUUGGCUGUGCUAGGUAGGAUGGUUGGGACUUGUAGUCCAUAACUAUCUAGAGUAGGGUUUCUCAGCCUUUGAUCCUCCAACAGUUUUGUUUAUCUGGAAGCUUUUCCCAGCAUAGCCAAUGAUGAAGUCCAAAAAAUCUGGAAGACCCAAGUUGGGAGCUAAGUAGGGUCAGCCACAAGUUGUCCAUCCCUACUAUAGACAUAAAUCCUCUUUUUGCUCUGACAUUCUAGAUAUUUGCAACUUCCAUAAUCCUCAUCAUCGGCUGUGCUAGAUAGCACGGUUGGGACUUGUAGUCCAUAACUAUCUAGAGUAGGUUCUCGCAGCCUUUGAUCCUCCAACAGUUUUGUUUAUCUGGAAGCCUUUCCCAACAUGGCCAAUGAUGAAGUCCAAAAAAUCUGGAAGACCCAACUUGGGAGCUCCUGAUCUGAAAAGCCAUAAGUUGUCCAUCACUGCUAUAGAGACAAAUCCUCUUUUUGUUUGAAAAUCCAUAGGAAAGUCAUCCUCCUUUUCCCCUCAAACGUUUGUCACCCAAAGCAGAUCACAAGACUGUUGAGGAACAUGUGGAUCCUAUCUCCAUUUCAAUGUAUAGUCCUCGCCUGAAACAGAUAGGACAACCACUGGCCCAGUUAUAUGCUCUGUUGCCCAGACCGUAUAAGACACAAUGUAACAUUAGAUAUAAAUGUUUUGUAUAUGAACCAUUAUGUAUGGUUGUAUUGGCCAAUCUCUGUCCUGGCUACCUUGUGGUCUGUUGUCUUUAUGUUAAUUUAUUGUGAUAAAUUUGCAU